rnacentral:misc_RNA from 1 species
UUUCCGUAGGUGAGCCUGCGGAAGGAUCAUUACAGAGUUCAUGCCCUCACGGGUAGAUCUCCCACCCUUGAAUAUUUAUACCUUAGUUGCUUUGGCAGGCCGUGGAAACACCAUGGGCUCCGGCUUAUGCGUGCCUGCCAGAGGAAACAAACUCUGUUUUUAGUGAUGUCUGAGUACUAUAUAAUAGUUAAAACUUUCAACAACGGAUCUCUUGGUUCUG